CUUGGCAAGUUGUCUUAUAAACCACCAAUAAUAGCCCCUUAAAAAUUCAAAAACUACUCCUCUUGGCUAACAAAAUAAAUGCAAAUUAAUUUAAUAAUUGUUGAAGAAAUUAAAUUUUUUAAAAUUAAAAAAUUGCAAUGUUGAAAUUCUCAACCAUGCUUAUCCAGACCUUUUCCUAUACUACUAACUGUCCUGGGCUUAUCUUAAAUACUUCUCAGAAGAUUUACUUGUUUUACACCAGGAUAGGCAAAGUAUGGCCCACAGUGUAUUUUUGGACUGUCUGCAAGCACAGUUGCUAUAAUUUUUAAAAGGCUGAAAACUUUAAAUUUUUGUAAAUAUGCUCAUUAACUGUUUAUUAGGCUUCAUUAAUUUUAAAAUAUACAGAGACUAUCCUAUUCAACUAUAUUUGUAUCCUAUUUCUAAUUCUCCUAACAAUUAUAUACACUGGCAAAAACUCUUCAGAUGAUAUAUAAGGAAAAGGUCAAAUAUACUACGGAAUUCAUCCAGCUUUCCAAAGAUGCUCAAAAUCUUUCUGUGUCUCUCACUCCCUCCCUUAACUCACAUACCACAUCUGAAAAAAAAAUGAUAUGGUGUAACGAUGCCAGUAUUCUAAAUGUUUGAAGGGCUUAUCACAUGCCCUUUCCAAGCUGUGACAGAAGCAUGUCCCCUGGACCCCGGCAUCCUAUCAAUCUCACCUCUGAAGGUGACCCAGCCUCAUACUUCACUGAAACAAAGACCAUUAGACGCCAGCACUCCCAACUUCUUUUAUUUCCACUUUAACAUUUCUCCAUAUAGUAAUCCUCACUUUUCUACUCCCUGUCAUCUCAGAAAAGGAAUUCUCUCUCCUCUUUUCCACAGUUAGCUUCUCAGAUUUGUGCCUUUAAUUCUACCCCUCCCAAAUAUUCCAAGACUUGCUCCACUAAUUAUUUCCUCUCUUGGAAUCUUAAUCUCAUCCUCUUCCCUUGAUCCCUCCCCUCAGCCUUUAAAACUCCUAGACCUUAAAACACUCUCUGUGAUCUGACAGCCCUUCAAACCAAUAUACUCCCCAUCUCUCUCCCCUGGUUCAAUGGCAAGAUCUUUGGCCAACUGCUUUCUACUCGGACCUUGCUAUUAUUUGCUACUAGGCACCCACAAACCCUUGCUUGUUAAACUGAUCUCCUUCAAGACUUAAGAAAAGCGCCAUGCGGCUCCCUCCCAGGGCUCUCCUGCCCUCUCCUCACCGAUGCCAAGAGUGGUCCUGCUGGAGAACCGCCGCGCCUGCAGUUCGUCCACCUUUUCCCGAAGCUGCGCCAGGAAAUUAUGGACGAACUGGAAGGGGCCGAGAAGAAGGGUCUUGGCCCCCACCUGUAGCUCCAAGCCUUUUCGUGCUUUCAGAUUUCGGAUCCUCCGUGUGGAGCACCUUGGGGCGCCCCUUGGCAGGUUCCCGCCGCAUAGGGCCGACUUUUCCACCUCCUCCUCCACCUCCGGCUCCAGGGCGGGAAGAUUGUAGCGGCUUUGAGUUUACUACUUGUUUUCUCAUAAUCCCUGGCGGGGCUGGGUCAAUUUCAGGCACAGCCCAGCUCAGUCAGGCGAGGUCCAGAAAGGCCUGACUUGCCUGGCAGCCUCAACGGACUUGUCCCCGCAGCCCUUACGGACCUCCCGGUCAUCAUAGCGACUGUGAAAUGUGGGGUGGGGCGCGUGCGUUCGAAGCCAUUUGCGCGGGCAGUCCCUGCGUGUCCCCCCACGUGCUCCCCAGCACUCGCAGCACCCCCGCCUCCGCGCUUCCCUGAGCGUGCAGCUUCCAGUGAGGGCAGCCCCACGCACAGCCCCCCACACCCUCCCCAACGCCUGCAGCCCCCGGUGCGCGUAGUCCCCAAGCCCACACGUGCACUCCCCACCUUGCGGCAGCUCCACGUACAGCCCCCCACACGCUCCCAGCCCCAGUGGCGCAGAACCCAUCACCGCUCGCCCUUCACGCGCUUCACUGGGAGUGCAGCCCCCACCCCGAGCGCGCAGCUCCACGCAGCCUCUCCACACUCUUCCCCAGCGCCUGCAGCACCCCCAGUGCGCACAGCUCUGCCAGUCGCUUCCCCGCGUGCCGCCCCUGCACCGCUUCGGGCCAUAACCUUGCUGGCGACUAAGUCUGAAGAACUUCCCAUGAUUUAGUUCUUUUCUUCGAGUUUAGUCUUAGCUUUGACAUUUUAACCAAAAGGUUACACGUUAAUUUAUGGUAUGAGGUCACCAGUUCUCCUAUUGUCCUUCUCAGUUUCUCCCCAACCUCCCCUAUUCCCUAUUUUAUAAGACAGGAGAAAAGGGAGAAAGCAAAAAGUUAGAAAGAAACAGAAGUAAGAUAAAUAGCUGGAGGACCUUGGCACCACCACCUGGCCCUGGUGGCUAAAAUAAUAAUAAUAUUAUUAACCCCUGACCAAAACUAUUGGUGUUAUGUGUAAAUUCCAGACACUGUAUGAGAAAGUACUGUAAAACUUUUUGUUCUGUUAGCUGAUGUAUGUAGCCCCCAGUCACGUUUUUCACGCUUACUUGAUCUAUUAUGACUUUUUCACGUAGACCCCUUAGAGUUGUAAGCCCUUAAAAGGCCUAGGAAUUUCUUUUUCGGGGAGCUCGGCUCUUAAGACACGAGUCUGCCGACGAUCCCGGCCGAAUGAAAAACCUCUUCCUUCUUU
rnacentral:lncRNA from 1 species